rnacentral:rRNA from 1 species
GGGUGCCCCGCGAGGGGAGCCCUAGCACAGGUGCUGCAUGGCCGUCGUCAGCUCGUGCCGUGAGGUGUUGGGUUAAGUCCCGCAACGAGCGCAACCCCCGCGUUAGUUGCCAGCGGUUCGGCCGGGCACUCUAACGGGACUGCCCGCGAAAGCGGGAGGAAGGAGGGGACGACGUCUGGUCAGCAUGGCCCUUACGGCCUGGGCGACACACGUGCUACAAUGCCCACUACAAAGCGAUGCCACCCGGCAACGGGGAGCUAAUCGCAAAAAGGUGGGCCCAGUUCGGAUUGGGGUCUGCAACCCGACCCCAUGAAGCCGGAAUCGCUAGUAAUCGCGGAUCAGCCAUGCCGCGGUGAAUACGUUCCCGGGCCUU